rnacentral:lncRNA from 1 species
GACUCUCUCCUCAAAAACAAAACUCAAAGCAAACUCAAAUCACCCAAAGCCCAGCUCGUGCCUUUUUCACACCCACCCCCAAAAAAUGAACACCACCGCAAAACACAAAAUAAAUCCAAAUUGUCAUCGCAGCUAAAUGAAAGAACUAACAGAAAGUAAAUUACAAAAUGGAAUGCACCUUGCACGCAGAUAUGGCCCACACGUGGCCGACCCACGCUCAAUCAAAUGACGAGCACGCAGAGGUGCACUUGUCCGCCACGCGACGAGCGCAACGCUAAGCUUUCCAAGCGAUAUGCCACAGAGACAAUCAAUCAGGAGGAAAGUGGCUGAGAAGCGACUGUGUAAGCAACUGGGAAGCAUCUGGGAAGCGGCGAACGCGUGACCCGAGGGGCGAGUUAUACAAUUAACCAAAGUUAAAGCAACUCUGCAGAGGCAGCAACAACCACCACCACUGGAAGUUCCACUGCCUCAGCCUCCGCACCAUCCUCCACUACAAGGCAACGAAAUGAGCGGUGCUGUGGCCUAAAUUGCAAACAGCUGCCACUCGAACCGUGGGAUUCUUUUUCCCCUAGCCUGAAAAGCGAGCGAGAUACGAGAUACGCCAGGAUAGGGGAAGGGCCUUUACGUCUGUCCUCGGUUGCUCGCAAAACCUUAUCCAUGGGAACCACAACUGCUCGACGUUCUCAAUAUUUAUUCAGUUCAUUCGUUAUAUUGAAAAAAAAACAACAAAAUGAGAAGGAGAUAAAAUAUAAAAAAAGGGCCGGCCGGGUCGUGCCUUGUAGGGCAACACGAUUAUCCUGCACGUGUUGAGCUUGCUUCGGGGGUCCCUCACGCUAAAAGCGUGGCAGGCAAACGUUGGGCUGCUGUUUGCUGAUGAGGCUGCCACUGCCACUUGCGCUACUGCUCUGCCGCUGCUGCUGUUGCUCAGAUGGGCACAUGUGGCACUUGUUGUUUUGGGUGGGUGCUACAGUUUUUGGUGGUGCUUUUCUUCUGCCCGCUAUAAAACCACGGCAUUUGUCAUCAGGCAACAACAGUUACAAUUUGGCAGCCCACGCGACUAGAACACAAAGUCUAAAAAGUGAAAAUUCUACGUAGAUAUCUUAAAAAAUAAAAUUGAACGAAAAAUUUGACAGUACAACUUCAAAGUAAAAAUCUUCUUGCUUUAACGCAAAAAAUGUCGAAAGUUAAGAAUUNCAGGGGAAAUAGCAGCAGCAACAAUGACAGCCAGCUGUACGACAGUUUGGAGGAGAUUGCGCAGAAUCAGGCCAAUGAGCUUAUGCUGCUGGAGACGCUCAGUCACUACGAGAAGGAGCACUUGGUGAUUUGCCUGGAGACGGCAGCGGGCAGCUUCUAUUGGUGGUCACAGUAGCAGCAGUAGAUGGAGAUACUACGGCAACAAGGAGCAAAAGAGGUAGAUAAAGAAGGAACUACAGCUGGAGGUAAGGAAAUCGCUUAAUCAGCAGACAAAUCUCAGAGAGAAGUUCUGCAACAGGUGCAGGUUGAAGAGAAGAAGCUACAGAAGCAGCAUAAACAACACCAGCAGCAUCUGCUUAAGCAACAUUAGCACCAACAGCAGUAACAUUAGCAGCGGCACCAAUUAGAGCAUCAACAGAAGCUUAAAACGAAGAGUCAGCCUCUGCCAAAACAUCUCAAAGAACUUAAACAUCAUCAGUAGAAGCUUUAACAUUGUCAGCAAUAAAUGCAACAGUUGCUUCAACAACAUUAGAAUCUCCACAUCCACAAUAGUUUCAUCACCAACAGCAACCAAACACAAAUGUAACAAAAUGGCCAUCAGCAGCAACAGAAGCUUCUGAUAAACAGCAGCAACAUCUGGUAAGGCUAGAAGCCGUAACACAUCGUACAUUUGAGGAAGCAUCUAGAGACACAACAGCAGCAGCUAAAGCAGCAACGACAGCAGAAGCAAUAAAAACAGCAGCUAGAAGGGCAGCAGCAACAACAUCUCCAGCAACAACAGACACUCCGACAGCAACAUUAUCAGUACCAGCAUCAGCCAGUCGACGUGUGCGCAAAUAAAACCGGUACUUAGAAGCAAAAAUGUAUGAAUGAAUGAGUGACACGAACAACAACUACAACAAAAACGAUAACAACCAAAAGAGAAUUCCGUUCCAUGAAUGAAUGAAUGAAGCUGUCGCAGCAACUUACGUAAAUAUGUAUGUACAAACGUAUAUAAAUACAUAUGUAUGUAUGGUACAUACGUUCGUGUGAAACAAGCUGAGUGAUAAAAAAAACAGCAAUAGUGCGCCACACCAAGAAGGGCACAUAAGCGAACCGUCUCUCUCUCUCUCCCAGUUGGAGUCCUGAGAUGGAUGUUAAUUCUCAAGAAUACUUCAUAAAUUUGUGAUAAUAAAUAUCUUUAGCAAUAGGAAUAGCAUAAAUGUUAUUAAAUAAUAAAAAUAAGAAAAUACUCAAAAAUUUCAAUGAAAUAA